rnacentral:rRNA from 1 species
CCUACGGGAGGCAGCAGUGAGGAAUAUUGGUCAAUGGGCGCGAGCCUGAACCAGCCAAGUAGCGUGAAUGAUGACUGCCCUACGGGUUGUAAACUUCUUUUUUAAAGGAAUAAAGUGAGGCACGUGUGCCUUUUUGUACUUACUUUAUGAAUAAGGAUCGGCUCACUCCGUGCCAGCAGCCGCGGUAAUACGGAGGAUACGAGCGUUAUCCGGAUUUAGUGGGUUUAAAGGGAGCGUAGGUGGGUUGUUAAGUUAGUUGUGAAAGUUUGCGGCUCAACCGUGAAAGUGCAAUUGAUACUGGCAGCCUUGAGUGCAGUUGAGGUAGGCGGAAUUCGUGGUGUAGCGGUGAAAUGCUUAGAUAUCACGAAGAACUCCGAUUGCGAAGGCAGCCUACUAAACUGCCACUGACAUUGAUGCUCGAAAGUGUGGGUAUCAAACAGGAUUAGAUACCCGAGUAGUC